rnacentral:rRNA from 2 species
AGGUGCGAUCAUACCAGCACUAAUGCACCGGAUCCCAUCAGAACUCCGCAGUUAAAAUUAUUACGGCGGGUGAUGGAGCAAUAUCGCAUGGCCCAACAAGACUUGCACUUG